rnacentral:rRNA from 1 species
CCUACGGGUGGCAGCAGUGAGGAAUAUUGGUCAAUGGACGAGAGUCUGAACCAGCCAUGUCGCGUGAAGGAUGAAUGCCCUCUGGGUUGUAAACUUCUUUUAUAUGGGAAUAAAAUGUUCCACGUGUGGGAUUUUGUAUGUACCAUAUGAAUAAGGAUAGGAUAACUCCGUGCCAGCAGCCGCGGUAAUACGGAGGAUCCGAGCGUUAUCCGGAUUUAUUGGGUUUAACGGGAGCGUAGGUGGUUUGUUAAGUCAGUUGUGAAAGUUUGCGGCUCAACCGUAAAAUUGCAGUUGAAACUGGCAGGCUUGAGUACAGUAGAGGUGGGCGGAAUUCGAGGUGUAGCGGUGAAAUGCGUAGAUAUCACGAAGAACUCCGAUUGCGAAGGCAGCUCACUGGACUACAACUGACACUGAGGCGCGAAAGUGUGGGUAUCAAACAGGAUUAGAUACCCUUGUAGUC